ensembl:lncRNA
CCCGGCCCGGCCUCGGCGGAGCCCCGUGGUGCGGCUGCCGGCUGUACGUGGGUGCCGCCCGCAGAACCCGCUGCCAUUUCCUGGAGGUCAUAUUUUGUUGUUAUUUUUUUUUUUAUAGCUCUUACGUCAGUAAAGCAUAGGUUAGACAUCGCCUGUUCCCUUUUCUUUUUUUUUUUUCUUUUUCUUUUUUUUUUCUUUUUUUUUUUUUUUUAAGAGUCUCAUAAAUUCUGUUACACACGUCGGAAAAUGAAGCAGGUGUGAGAAAUCUGGACGUGAAAUCGGAAUUGCACACAUUUCAACGCACCAACGCAGCCUCACGGCUGCAGGCGCUCUGCAGGCUGCGUAUCAUCUGAAAACACCUCAAGGACGAGAUUUUCCGAAACUGUGGCCGAGAUUUAUUACGAAGCAGCUAUAAUUACCGUGCCGGCCAGGAGGGGCUCCGAGAGCAAAACCUAACGCGACACAACACACUUUCCAAGUUUCCCGGAGCGUUUCAACACUGCAAACGGUUCCUCCCAAACAGUCCCGGCGCGGGGGCGGCGCGGCUCCUCGGGCUGCGGGCGUCGGGUGGCCGACAGAAGGAUCCCUCCGUGCCUCCCGAACACGUCCAGGGAUGCGUCCCGCACCCGCACACCCUCCCCGGGCCCGGUUUAAUUGCGGCGUUUUGCUCCGCCGUUAAACGUGUGGCUGCUUUCGGGGGAAAUGACGACGUGGUGAAUUCCUGCAGUGCAGCGGCACGGUGCAUUUCCGUCCCUGAGCGACGCCGGGAGCACCCAACGCGGCACUGCAGCUUCCGAUUGCGCGUUUUGAAAGUGCGGAGGAGAUAUACGGUAUAGAUACACACAUUCUGAAAGAAUAUAUUUACAAGUACGUUCUGUAGAGAGAAACACGGGGACGGACAAGCACAUAUACACACGUAGGCAAUGUAGAUCCGGGUAUACACACCCGUAUAUAAGCAAUGCGGUAUAGGAUCUAUGCGCAUAUGCAGGCAAUGUGGAUAACGUCUACGUGAUCGUUCUAUCUCCUCUGCACAUUUCAAACCAAACCCGUUUUAUCGAGUGCUCGCCCACGGUUUAGCCAGCCGGGCUAUCUGCCCGCUGCUCCGCUCCUCCUC